rnacentral:rRNA from 1 species
UGGGGAAUUUUGGACAAUGGGCGAAAGCCUGAUCCAGCAAUGCCGCGUGUGUGAAGAAGGCCUUCGGGUUGUAAAGCACUUUUGUCCGGAAAGAAAUCCUUGGCUCUAAUACAGUCGGGGGAUGACGGUACCGGAAGAAUAAGCACCGGCUAACUACGUGCCAGCAGCCGCGGUAAUACGUAGGGUGCAAGCGUUAAUCGGAAUUACUGGGCGUAAAGCGUGCGCAGGCGGUUUGCUAAGACCGAUGUGAAAUCCCCGGGCUCAACCUGGGAACUGCAUUGGUGACUGGCAGGCUAGAGUAUGGCAGAGGGGGGUAGAAUUCCACGUGUAGCAGUGAAAUGCGUAGAGAUGUGGAGGAAUACCGAUGGCGAAGGCAGCCCCCUGGGCCAAUACUGACGCUCAUGCACGAAAGCGUGGGGAGCAAAACAGGAUUAGAUACCCUGGUAGUCCACGCCCUAAACGAUGUCAACUAGUUGUUGGGGAUUCAUUCUUAGUAACGUAGCUAACGCGUGAAGUUGACCGCCUGGGGAGUACGGUCGCAAGAUU